GUCCAUAAAGACACAGGACAGGAUGUCAACACUCUAGGUCCAUAAAGACACAGGACAGGAUGCCAACACUCUAGGUCCAUAAAGACACAGGACAGGAUGCCAGCACUCUAGGUCCAUAAAGACACAGGACAGGAUGUCAACACUCUAGGUCCAUAAAGACACAG